rnacentral:rRNA from 1 species
CCUACGGGAGGCAGCAGUGGGGAAUCUUGCACAAUGGAGGAAACUCUGAUGCAGCGAUGCCGCGUGAGUGAAGAAGGCCUUUGGGUUGUAAAGCUCUUUUGUAGGGGAAGAUAAUGACUGUACCCUAAGAAUAAGGUCCGGCUAACUUCGUGCCAGCAGCCGCGGUAAUACGAAGGGACCUAGCGUAGUUCGGAAUUACUGGGCGUAAAGCGCGCGUAGGCCGUUGAGUUAGUUAAUUGUGAAAUCCCAAAGCUUAACUUUGGAACUGCAAUUAAAACUGCUCGACUAGAGUUUGAUAGAGGAAAGCGGAAUACAUAGUGUAGAGGUGAAAUUCGUAGAUAUUAUGUAGAGCACCAGUUGCGAAGGCGGCUUUCUGGAUCAACACUGACGCUGAGGCGCGAAAGUAUGGGUAGCAAAGAGGAUUAGAUACCCUCGUAGUCCAUACCAUAAACGAUGAUUGCUAGAUGUUGGAAAUUUAUUUUCAGUAUCGCAGCUAACGCAUUAAGCAAUCCGCCUGGGGAGUACGAUCGCAAGGUUAAAACUCAAAAUGAAAUUGACGG